UUGUCCAGGCUGGUCCUGAACUUUUGGGCACAAGCAGUCCGCCCACUUCAGCCUCCCAAAGGGCUGGGAUUACAGGCGUGAGCCACCAUGCCUGGCCCACUUUUUGGUGUUUAUUGAGCUUCUUAGAUGUGUAGAUUAAUUCUCUUUAUCAAAUUUGGGAACAUUUCAGCCAUUAUUUAUUGAAAUACUUUUUAUGUUCCUUUCUCUAUCUCCUGUCUUUCUAAUAUUCCCAUUAUGAGUAGGUUGGUGUGCUUAAUGGUGUUCCACAUUUAGAGUACACUUACAGUACAGCUUCUAAGACUCUUGAUUUUUCUUCAUUGUUUUUUUUUUCUUUGUUCUUCAAAUUGCGUAAUCUUUCUUUAUCUCUCUUCAAGUUCACUGAUUCUUCUGCCACUUUGGAUCUAUUUUGGAACCCCUCUAGUGGAUUUUUAAAAUUUCAGUUAUUAUACUUUUCGACUCCAGAAUUUUCAUUUGGCUCUUUUUUUAGAAUUUUGAUCUCUUUGUUGCUAUUCUGUGUUUGAUGAGACAGGGUCGUUAUGCAUUCCUUUACUUUUUCAAUGACAGUUUCAUUUAGUUCUUUGAACAUAUUUAUAGUGAUUGUUUUGAAGUCUCUUUUUUUUUGAUAAAUACGACAACUGAGCCUUCUCACAGGCAGUUUCCAUUGCCUGGAUUUUUCCCCAUGUGUGUGUCACACUUUCUGGUUUCUUUGUAUAUCUCAUAGUUUUUUGUUGAAGACUUGUCAUCUUAGAUGACACAUUGUAGCCACCCUUGAUUCUGAUUCCCUCCUUCCAUGGCUUC
rnacentral:lncRNA from 1 species